UGGGGAAUUUUGGACAAUGGGGGCAACCCUGAUCCAGCAAUGCCGCGUGUGUGAAGAAGGCCUUCGGGUUGUAAAGCACUUUUGUCCGGAAAGAAAACGCCGUGGUUAAUACCCGUGGCGGAUGACGGUACCGGAAGAAUAAGCACCGGCUAACUACGUGCCAGCAGCCGCGGUAAUACGUAGGGUGCAAGCGUUAAUCGGAAUUACUGGGCGUAAAGCGUGCGCAGGCGGUCCGCUAAGACAGAUGUGAAAUCCCCGGGCUUAACCUGGGAACUGCAUUUGUGACUGGCGGGCUAGAGUAUGGCAGAGGGGGGUAGAAUUCCACGUGUAGCAGUGAAAUGCGUAGAGAUGUGGAGGAAUACCGAUGGCGAAGGCAGCCCCCUGGGCCAAUACUGACGCUCAUGCACGAAAGCGUGGGGGAGCAAACAGGAUUCAGAUACCCUGGUAGUCCACGCCCUAACGAUGUCAACUAGUUGUCGGUCUUCAUUGACUUGGUACGUAGCUAACGCGUGAAGUUGACGCCUGGGAGUACGGUCGCAAGAUUAAAACUUAAUGAAUUGACGGGGUCAUAGCU
rnacentral:rRNA from 1 species